UUUUGUGGGGUUAGCACGUUCAUAUUAUCUAAGACGACAAGUGGCUUGUAAGUAAGAUUUUUUUUCUUUUUAUUUCAAAGUUUUAAAGGAUAUUAAAUUAGAGUGGUUCACAUUUCACCACAACAGGAUCUAUGUUUCUCUUCGUAACGACAAGUCCAUAUACUUAAAUAUUUCUUCAUAUUUUGGGUAAUGCUUCUAGUUGUACAUAAUCGCAGUCGAAAGUGCAAUAGACUUCACUUCGCUGAAGGUGAAAAUUUCAUC
rnacentral:lncRNA from 1 species